CCCUCCCCCGAGCGCUCGCCAGGGGGCCCCGAGGACACGGCGCCCCCCCAUAUCCCCCGCCGUUAGCCCCCCCCGGGGGGAGAUCGUAUCCGGCGGGGGGAGUCCCGGCCAUGACCGGCCUGGCCCAGCGCUGCCUCCCCGAGCCAGGAAAGUAGCUUGAUGAGUGUCCAAAGUAACAGUGGAAGUUUGGAGGGGGCGCCAUCUUGGUCCCAGCUCUCCACGUCCCCGACGCAGGGCUCGGCUUUGCUGCGGAAUAGCACGCCGCCUGGCAAGGCCAAGGAAGGU